rnacentral:rRNA from 1 species
UACGGAGGGUGCAAGCGUUGUCCGGAAUCACUGGGCGUCAAGGGCGCGUAGGCGGCUCGGUAAGUAGGGGGUGAAAUCCUGCGGCUUAACCGCAGGGCUGCCUUCUAAACUGUCGAGCUUGAGCACGGUAGAGGCAGAUGGAAUUCCCGGUGUAGCGGUGGAAUGCGUAGAGAUCGGGAAGAACAUCAGUGGCGAAGGCGGUCUGCUGGGCCGUUGCUGACGCUGAGGCGCGACAGCGUGGGGAGCAAACAGG